rnacentral:rRNA from 1 species
UGCUGUCGACGGUUGGUGCUAUGCCAACCGUGGCGUUAACGGAUAACAGAGAAUCUGGGUUCGAUUCUGGAGAGGCCGCAUGAGAAACGGCGACCACUUCCAAGGAAGGCAGCAGGCACGCAAAUUACCCACUUCGGACACCGAGAGGUAGUGACGAACAAUACCGAUGCGGUGCACUUACGUGUCGCCGUAAUCGGAAUGAGUACACUUCAAAUCCUUUAACGAGGAUCCACUGGAGGGCAAGCCUGGUGCCAGCAGCCGCGGUAAUUCCAGCUCCAGCAGCGUAUAUUUAUAUUGCUGCGUUUAAAAAGCUCGUAGUUGAAGCGUCAGACGCGGGAGGACGGACGGCCGCACUGGUCGCUUCUCGUCCGACCGAGCCAGGCGCAGAGGGCGUCCGUCGGUUGCACUUCACCGUGUGAUCGCGGCGUCGCUGCACGUUCACCUUGAAGAAAUUGAACCGCUUAGAGGGGGCGAGCAGCUUGUACAGCUCAGCAUGGUAUGAUGGAACAUGGGCUCGUACUCAUUUUGUUGGUUUUGGAGUUCGCGAGCCAAUGAUUAACAGGGACUGCCGGGGGCAUUCGUACUCGAGCGUGAGAGGUGAAAUUCAAGGAUCGCUCGAAGACGUCCUACUGCGAAAGCAUUUGCCAAGAAUGUUUUCAUUAAUCAAGAACGAAAGUCAGAGGUGCGAAGGCGAUCAGAUACCGCCGUAGUUCUGACCGUAAACGAUGUCGACUGGCGAUUGGGCGCACUUCUGCCGAAGUUGCCGCCAGCAGUAUUCGCCCGGGAAACCAAAGUGAUUGGACUCCGGGGGGAGUAUGGUUGCAAAGCUGAAACUUAAAGGAAUUGACGGAAGGGCACCACCAGGAGUGGAGCAUGCGGCUUAAUUUGACUCAAACACGGGAAACCUCACCCGGCCCGAACACUGUGAUGACAGACAGGUUGAGAGCUCUUUCUCGAUUCAGUGGUUGGUGGUGCAUGGCCGUUCUUAGUUCGUGGAGCGAUCUGUCUGGUUAAUUCCGAUAACGAACGAGACUCUUGCCUGCUAAAUACGCCGGCGUCGACUCAGGUCGGCGACCGCAUGCUUCUUAGAGGGACAAGCGGCUUUUAGUCGCGUGAAGCGGAGAGCAAUAACAGGUCAGUGAUGCCCUCAGAUGUUCGGGGCCGCACGCGCGCUACACUGCUUGCAUCAGCGUGUGUCACCCUCGCCGGCUGGCGUGGGCAAUCCGUUGAACCGCAAGCGUGCUAGGGAUCGGAGAUUGCAAUUAUUCUCCGUCAACGAGGAAUUCCUUGUACUUGCGAGUCAUCAGCUCGCGGGGAAUCUGUCCCUGCCCUUUGUACACACCGCCCGUCGCUACUACCGAUUGAGUGGUUUAGUGAGGCCCACGGACUGCGCGCGGCACCCGGCGCUUCGGCGUCGCGUCGCGAGCGGAAAGUGA